ensembl:lncRNA
UUCCCUCUUCAGGGCAAGGCAACCUUUCCUCCCAGCCAGUCCUCCUCAUUGGGUCCCCCCCCUCCACCGUGGGAUGGCGUGGGAGACGCUGGUGUUUAUGGACGCCCAGAGACUGUCGUGGUUUGAUCUGCUCCUGGGGAGACCCUGGAGGGAACCCCCUCUGCUCAUGCUGGGGCAGAAGCUGUUAGUGCGGCGCUCGUGACCAUCAAUUUAGGCAUCACGUGGUGGAUCGCCUAGCUGGUCUAUAUGGGGCUGGGCGGGAGGGCGUCCCUGGUGGCCCUGGUGGUGGCAAUUUGGGCCAUCAUCGUGAUCUGUGGCUGGUUGCCCCAGGAUACCCCGCCUGCCCCGUACCCCUUGCGGCCCCAUGACCCCCACCAGCUCAGCCGGCUACGGCACGUCACCCUUCCGCCUCUACAGACCAUAGCCUCGAGCGUCUCCUGGAGGGACCCCGUCUUGAGAGGUAAGGAAGGGCAUGAUGCCUCCACCUCCCACAAAGCAAUGCCCCCCUCCAGCCUCUUGGCCCCUGAGAGAGGCCAGAAGUGCUGGUCUCCUGCGGGGAUCUCCUUGGCCUCAGCCUGGGCUCCCUGGGGGCCUUACGGUGCCCCUUCCUCCUGAAUUCCUGCCCCCCACAUUUCUCCAGGGGGAGGGCAGAGCCAGGGUUGAACCUGGAGAAGGAGCACCAAGGGUGUGUGUGGGGGGAGGAUGUGCUGACUGGGAGCGGCCCUUCUUUCUGACCGGUGCCCCCUAUCCUCCGAACCCCCACUAGCCUGCCAUCGGGUGGGGGUUAUAGGGCUCCUGCCUGAUUUGACCUGAUUUUUUUUUGGGGGGGCUCCUGAUCAUUGCCUUUGCUUCCCUCUGCAGGACAAGGCAACCUUUCGUCCCGGCCAGUCCUCCUCGUCAGAUUCCCCUCCCUCCGUCUCUCUCCUGCCCAUCGAAGACCGGCUGCAUCUUUUACCCGUCUCACCUGCCCCCUUUUCUCCAUCCCCUCUACGUCUUCUCCCCAUGUCUCCUGCCCCUUUCUCUUCUGCCCCCAUGCAAACUCUCCCUAUAUCUCCUGCCUUUCCAAAUCCUUUCCCCAUGUCUCCUACUCCCUUUCCUCCUGGCCCUACAAGUCCUCGCCGGGUGUCUUCCACGCUAAUCCGUCCUGACCGUCCUGCCUCCCUGCCCCGAAGGCGGAAGCACGAGGAAGACAAGACCCCCUCCUUCCAUCGCCCCCAGAAGAUCCAGCCCAGGUGAGGGCGGUUGCUCAGUCUGAGGGAGGCCUGCGGCCGGGGUGGAGGGGCAGCUGACCAGGGACACCCUCCAGCAUCUCUUCCUGUCACUUGGUUGGCCGCUCUCCGUGGAGGGAGAGGGCGGCCGUGUCCUGUCAAGAUCAGCCCCCCUUGGCCAGGGUGUCAAUGGUCUGGGCGAUGGGCAUCGUAGUCCAGGUGCCAGUGCCCCUGCAGAGGUCCCAUGGCCAGACAACAGCUCUUCCCCUGCUAGAGGAGCAAAUCCUGCCAGAAGCAUCUCAGGAUUGAUCUCCUACCACCCACCCACCUCUCUCUUUCUGCAGGGACAGCGCAUCUCGCAAGAGGAAAGCCACGGGGCAACCAGUGGCUCCAUCAUCCUUCCCCUU